rnacentral:rRNA from 1 species
AGAGUUUGAUCCUGGCUCAGGACGAACGCUGGCGGUGUGCUUAACACAUGCAAGUCAAGGAGAAUUUUAUCUUCGGAUAAAUAGUAAACUGGCGAACGGGUGAGUAACGCGUAAAUAACUUGCCUCGGAGAUUGGGACAACAUUGGGAAACCAGUGCUAAUACCAAAUAAUGCAGCGGGCCCUUCGGGGCACAGUUGUUAAAGUAGGCUUCGGCUUACACUUUGAGAUAGAUUUGCGUCCGAUUAGUUAGUUGGUAGGGUAAUAGCCUACCAAGACCGAGAUCGGUAGCUGGUCUGAGAGGAUGAUCAGCCACACUGGAAUUGAGAUACGGUCCAGACUCCUACGGGAGGCAGCAGUGAGGAAUUUUGCACAAUGGGCGAAAGCCUGAUGCAGCAACACCGCGUGAUUGAUGAAGUUUUUAGGAAUGUAAAAAUCUGUCGUAAGGGAAGAAAUGUUUCGGAUGUUAAUACCAUCUGUUACUGACGGUACCUUACAAGAAAGGACCGGCUAACUUCGUGCCAGCAGCCGCGGUAAUACGAGGGGUGCUAGCGUUGUCCGGAAUAACUGGGCGUAAAGGGUACGUAGGCGUUUUAAUAAGUUAUAUGUUAAAUAUCUUAGCUUAACUAAGAAAGUGCAUAUAAAACUGUUAAAAUAGAGUUUGAGAGAGGAACGCAGAAUUCAUGGUGGAGCGGUGACAUGCGUAGAUAUCAUGAGGAAAGUCAAAUGCGAAGGCAGCCUUCUGGCUCAAAACUGACGCUGAGGUACGAAAGCGUGGGGAGCGAACAGGAUUAGAUACCCUGGUAGUCCACGCCGUAAACGAUGAGUAUUUGGUGCUGGGGGAUUCGACCCUUUCAGUGCCGUAGCUAACGCGAUAAAUACUCCGCCUGGGGACUACGAUCGCAAGAUUGAAACUCAAAGGAAUUGACGGGGACCCGCACAAGCGGUGGAACAUGUGGUUUAAUUCGAUGCAACGCGAAGAACCUUACCUGGUCUUGACAUCCUCGGACCGCUUCAGAGAUGAAGUUUCCUCUUCGGAGGCCGAGUGACAGGUGCUGCAUGGCUGUCGUCAGCUCGUGUCGUGAGAUGUUGGGUUAAGUCCCGCAACGAGCGCAACCCUCGUCCUAUGUUGCCAGCACGUAAUGGUGGGGACUCAUGGGAUACUGCCGGGGUCAACUCGGAGGAAGGUGGGGAUGACGUCAAAUCAUCAUGCCCCUUAUGUCUUGGGCUGCACGCAUGCUACAAUGGCCGGUACAAAGGGCUGCAAUACCGUAAGGUGGAGCGAAUCCCAAAAAGCCGGUCUCAGUUCGGAUUGAGGUCUGCAACUCGACCUCAUGAAGUCGGAGUCGCUAGUAAUCGUAGAUCAGCAACGCUACGGUGAAUACGUUCCCGGGCCUUGUACACACCGCCCGUCAAGUCACGAAAGUCGAUAACACCCGAAGCCGGUGGCCUAACCGCAAGGAGGGAGCCGUCGAAGGUGGGAUUGGUGAUUGGGACUAAGUCGUAACAAGGUAGCCGUACCGGAAGGUGCGGCUG